rnacentral:rRNA from 1 species
AUUGAACGCUGGCGGCAGGCCUAACACAUGCAAGUCGAGCGAGCGGCGGACGGGUGAGUAAUGUCUGGGAAACUGCCUGAGGGAGGGGGAUAACUACUGGAAACGGUAGCUAAUACCGCAUACCAUACGAUGUGCCCCGAGGGGAGUAGCGCGUCGGUGGGGUAACGGCUCACCUGGGCGACGAUCCCUAGCUGGGCUGAGAGGAUGACCAGCCACACGGGAACUGAGACACGGUCCAGACUCCGACGGGAGGCAGCAGUGGGGAAUAUUGCACAAUGGGCGAAAGCCUGAUGCAGCCAUGCCGCGUGUGUGAAGAAGGCCUUCGGGUUGUAAAGCACUUUCAGCGGGGAGGCGUUACCCGCAGAAGAAGCACCGGCUAACUCCGUGCCAGCAGCCGCGGUAAUAC